GACGAACGCUGGCGGCAUGCUUAACACAUGCAAGUCGAACGGAAAGGCCCUGCUUUUGUGGGGUGCUCGAGUGGCGAACGGGUGAGUAACACGUGAGUAACCUGCCCUUGACUUUGGGAUAACUUCAGGAAACUGGGGCUAAUACCGGAUAGGAGCUCCUGCUGCAUGGUGGGGGUUGGAAAGUUUCGGCGGUUGGGGAUGGACUCGCGGCUUAUCAGCUUGUUGGUGGGGUAGUGGCUUACCAAGGCUUUGACGGGUAGCCGGCCUGAGAGGGUGACCGGCCACAUUGGGACUGAGAUACGGCCCAGACUCCUACGGGAGGCAGCAGUGGGGAAUAGUGCACAAUGGGCGGAAGCCUGAUGCAGCAACGCCGCGUGCGGGAUGACGGCCUUCGGGUUGUAAACCGCUUUCGCCUGUGACGAAGCGUGAGUGACGGUAAUGGGUAAAGAAGCACCGGCUAACUACGUG
rnacentral:rRNA from 1 species